UACACACCGCCCGUCACACCAUGGGAGUCAGUUGCUCCAGAAAUGGCCGCGCUAACCCGCAAGGGAGGUAGGCCCUUAAGGAGUGACUGGUAACUGGGGUG
rnacentral:rRNA from 1 species